rnacentral:lncRNA from 1 species
UGAAAGAGCACUAUUAACAAUUUACAAAGAUACGGUUAAACAAGGCCUAGCACAGGCCAACAAUUUUUUGCCAUGUGGCAGUUGUUUUGAAUUUACCUAGGUUUUUUUUUCUUUUUCUGUAUGUGGAGGGAGAAGAGGAAAGGUAUUGAAGGGAAGUAACUGUAUUCUAUGAUUUUAUUUCAGAUGCAGCUGUUCUCUUAGUUACAUUGGCAGAUUGUGUGUUGUCAAUGUUGACUAUUGCUUAGGGAACCACAGUAUAUCAGUGCAUGGCCUCUGCCUGGCCCUUUCGCACAAUUGUAACUGUAGCGGUCUGCAAAGAUAUGAAAGGAACAUCUGUGAGAUAGAUACUGAAGACUGCAAAUCUGCGUCCUGCAAAAAUGGAACAACUAGUACACAUUUAAGGGGAUAUUUCUUCCGCAAGUGUGUCCCAGGAUUUAAAGGCAACAGAAUGGCCAAUAUCAUAGGCUUUGGGAACCUGCAU